rnacentral:rRNA from 1 species
GGUUGCGAUCAUACCAGCACUAAUGCACCGGAUCCCAUCAGAACUCCGCAGUUAAGCGUGUAACAACCCGCACCUUCGUGCGUUGUUACUA